UGCAAACGCACAAGGGAGCUUAACUGUGAGACCGACAGGU
rnacentral:misc_RNA from 1 species